rnacentral:sRNA from 1 species
UAAAAUAUAUGCAGGAUUUGGUGCUACAAUUACAGCUUAUGACGCCUAUCCUAAUAAAGAUUUAGACUUU